CUUCAGCUCAGUUCGGUUUCAACCGUCGCCGAGUCGAAGCGUUGUGUUUUUCGGGAUUGUUUCUCGAGUUUUCUGGUUUCUGUCGGCCGUGCGCGCGAUUUUGUUUUUAUUUUUUUGGACUCUUCUCAACUGGUGUUGAAUAAUGGUGGGGUUUAUCUCAUUUUAAUUUGGAAUCCGCUUUUACGUGUUUUGUGUUUGGCAAAACUUCUGGAAAAAGACGAUUACCCACAAGUGCGAAAUCACGUGCGUUUUUGAUUCGGAGUUGAAAUUCGAUUAACUGUAUCGAAAAUUGAGCUGACGGCAGAGAAGUUCUGUUUUAUGAAUUUUGGGCAUCAUUUUCAGUGAUCAGUGACGUAAACAAACAAAACAACUGCAGCGAGAAACGUUCUUCUGAUUAAAGAUUAUCCACAAGACAAUGAACUGAAAUUUCGAGUUAACUAAAAAGAGUUCGAGAUACCACUGAUUCUACACUUUCCAACGGAAUUGAAGUCACACCGAUUAAGCCUCCCGUUCGUAGCUUCGGGAACUCGAAGAAAGAUCUGCUGCUGUUGGCUGGCUGGCGUCGAUCGGAAAAAGACAGAAAGAAAUCCGAGAUAGCCCUAGGCGGAAAUCGCAAACGGAAACGUCCACAAGAAGAAGUAGAAAAAUCGCCUGGCGCAAAGUGUCGAAGAUUAGCCCCGAAAAAUCGGCGACUGAAUAAGAAUAAAACAGAUAGUAAUUUUAAAGUUUAUUACUAUCGUAUAAUACCUUUUGCCGCAAACAACGCGAACGAUAAGCCGAACGUUCGACGGGCUCAGAUCGCCGAAUUUGCCAAGAUUUUACCUUCCUCGGCCUUUCUUCCUGGGCCAGGUUUUAUUUUCAACUUCGAGCACUACUCCCUCCGAGUGAAUGUUGGUGAUAGUUCGGGUUCUGGACCCAAGGCAAGCGCAAGGGAAAGGGGGCUAAUUUAGUGUGUGGAUUCAAUCAGCGAUUAAAAAGUAAUCCACCGUUUUCGGGGAGCUUUUGCGUGUUUGGGAGAAAUUAAAUUCGAAGAAAACGAGCCGUGGGGCCAACGAGGAGUAAAAAAAGAUCAGUGCCGCGGCCUCGCUCAAUGUGUGCUUGCUUCAAACAAAUCAGCCAGCAGGAAGGAAAAGGUGACCGGAUAAAUUUAAGCGAGAUUCGUAAAAGUCUCGAAACGACGUCCGCGUGAGUGUGUCGAGUGUAUCGAGUUAAGCACAAGAAACCAAAAGAAAAAAGCUAAAUAAAUAAAACGCCAAAAGAGUUGUCUCAAAAUGGGUGAAAUUAGCAAAACGGCCUCGCAGUAAAGUUGGGUCAUAAUAAUACCUACUCUUCGAAUGUAAAAACGAGAUGAAAAAAAAGUUCAACACUGCUCCAAAGGAAUUCGGUGAAUAUCUCUGGUGGUGAAGUGAAGGUUGAAUUUCAUCUCUCGACAAAUUUUUCGGAACAAGUUCUUUUUUUGCUUUUGGUGCCUUUCUCAGUGACGUGGACGCAAAACAACGUGAAGUUCCGAGAUUGUGGCGUUUUGAGGGUUUUUUUUGGUGAAGCUUUAUGUACCUUUGUGCUACUCUGAAGUCGGUGCUUAUUGGUUUAGGCUGCAUCGGUUAAUCACAUCUCUUCGGUGGUCCCCUGCCCUGCCUGGAACGUUCGGUGUUUUACUUCUUCUUGUUGUUAUGAUCAACUGAUUUUGCGGUGAAGGUGGAACUUUUUUUUGAGCUGCCCUUCGAAACAACUUCGGAUCGUCGUUGAUUACAGGUAAUUAGCUAAAACCCACUUUGAAUAAUCAUGUAAGUAAAAAUACAAGAGAAAUAUAUUCUUCCAAAAAUCUAGAAAGAUUGCCGGCAUCAAAGAAAAAAAAAUUAAAAUAUACAUGCAAUCUAAUUUGCGUUUUGCAAAGUAUUCUUCCUUUACUUUAGUUUUAUCAUUAGUUAUAAAAGUUAAUUUGUAAGCGAGUCAUUGCAUUUUCAAAACACGCAUUGCUCCCAAAACAGCAUUUGAAUCUUAAAAAACAUCGUGAAAAGUUUUUCAUUUCAUUCCCAAUUUAAAAAAAAAUCGAGUUGAAAAGGUAUGGACAUUAGACUGAGUCGAUUUAGGGUGAUUUUCGAAUUUCUCAAACCCUGGGAUCUUAAAAGCUUCGUUUUGGUCCAAAACUCAUCUAUGAUUUUUUGCAGAAUUUUUAAGUAACGUUUACAUGAGUAAAUUUGAACUUUUAGGUUUGUAUGGGAAAAUUGAAUAUUUUGUACUGAAAAAUCAACAUCAUUUUUGUUUCUUCCGUGGAACCGAGCCUGCUUAUGGUUUUUGUGCCAAUUUACAAAAUUUCUAACGGAAAUUCUCCGCUGAACAUCUUUGUAACUUCGUAUCUUUUUAGACAAAAAAGUUAUUAGCUAUUAAACAGGUGUAUGUCUUUUUGCAUUGAUAAACAAUAAAUUCGAUUGACACCACUGCAGGAUGCCUACACGGAAAAAAAUUGAGUGGUCAUCCCAAAGACGCUGUCAUGAUAAUUUUACCAUUUCAGCGCUAUAGUAUUUUUAACCACGAAAAGUUUAACAUCGAUUUUGUGAAAGUGCGCAUGAAACAAUAUUGAAAUUACUAUGUACCUGGUAAUUUUCGAUAACUCUCAAUGUUUGUUGUCGAAAAUACUAUGGUCAUGAUAAUUUCAUCAUUAUUUCUAUCACAAAUACCGUCCGCAUAGUAAUUUUGACAUUGUGGCACCAAUUCAUAUCAACAAAAUACUACGCACAUCGUACUUUUGAGAACAAAACAUAUUUGACUCAAAAACAUAAGUGCGUAUGAUAAUUUUACUAUGGUAAAAAUUCUUGUUGUUUACACUAAUUCAGGAUCAUUAAUCAUCAAACCCGUUUAGCUUAGCUUAGCUUGAUUGACUACUCACAUCCACCUGAAUCAUUGAACCCGAAAUGCUCUGUUAUUUUUUACAAAAUGGAAUUCAUUGAAAUGGUUUUUACUGAUUCUGAUGGUUAUUUGAUGAUAUGAACUUUGUUAAUUGUUUUUUUUUUAAAUAAAUGCAUUUCGAGCACCAUGAUCGCAGGCGUGGCUCAGUAGAAAGAAUUCCACAUCGCCAAUGGUUGCUACUCCGUGAUUGACCGAGGAUACCAAUUUUGUGCAAAUGUCAAAAGAAUGAUGCUUGGGAUUAGCGACUCACUCUCAAUGCACAAAACUGAUACUCUCUCUUUAACCAUCAAUAACGGCGCCGGCCACGUCCUAGUAGUCAAUUGAUAGGUAUGAAAAAAUAUAGAAAGGGAUGAAAGAAUCAAAUUUGUGCUUUAGGACCGAGGUUACCUCUGCAUCCUUGCAAAAAAAUUGUUUUGGGAGUGUGGGAUGAAGGAUAUGAUCAGGAAACACUUUUGACAAGUGCGAUAAAGUAUAUUUAUUACCUGCUCAAACUAAAAGCCUAAUUUGUUGUCAUUUUUUAAUUUUUUUUUCAUUUUCUAACACGGCUCUUUUUAAAGUAAAGCUUUUUGAUCAAGCUAACUAAUAAUAAACGAUAAAAGCAUAGCACAUUAUGUAUGAAAACUAAUGAUGUAAUAAGAAAAGACACUAAUCUUAACGAUGAUUCAUGUAGAUUUUUUUAUUAUGACGCACAAUAUUCAUCAGCAAAUAACUCUUCCAAAAUAAUUUCCAAUCUUAUGUUUCAAAAUGAAUAUUUCAUUUUCCUUCCUUGAAUUAAUCUUUGGAAUUCGUUCUAUAUGUUACCAUAACUAAACACAGUUGAUUUUUUAACAAAAUUCUAUUAAAUUAAAGAUUUUAUUUGAUUCAGUUUAGUGGGAGGGAAAUGAGGAUCCGUUUCUUCUAUCAUUUUUUAAAUAUUCGAUUUCCAAAUUCUUUGACGUGUUAGGACGACUUAAAGUAUGAUAACUUUCAUAAAAUAUAACUCGGAAAAUAAAUUUAUUGAUUUAUACAUUUUGUUUUUAUUUAAUAGUAAAUUUUCAAAUUCAUCUAAUAGACGCUUGCUAAUGAAACAUUUUGAAAUCACUUCAUUCGUCAAAAAAAAAACGAUCAUAAAAAAUCUCACGACAUGGCCUUAGAUUAAAAACAUCCUAUUAUCGAGCAAGCGUUAUAAAAAAUCAUCCAAUUGGCAAUUAUACAAGUAAAAAUUGCUUUAAGCGUUCAGUGUGAAUCCGAAUGAGUGUCUUCAUGUUGUCAUUUGCUUCUCACGGCAUAAUAUUUUUAAUAUUAACAUUUCAACUCAAUCAUUUGCCCUAUCCAACAAGUUUUCUCUUUCUCCUUCAAAGUCAUUCGAUUUGAUUGUCAGGUGAACCACAAAAUUGUGAAAAAAAAGAUAAGAAUGACAUUAUUUCGUUUUCAAUAACUAUGAAAAAAUGAGUACAAAUUUUAAAGUAUUAUUUUACGGAACAAAAAAUACAUAUUUGUUAAUUUAAUCGUUAAGACAUUGUUAUUAAAGUAUUCAUAUUAGAAGAAAAAUAGGUGGAAUAUCAUGAUCAGAUGGAAAAAAUAAACUGAGAGCAAUUUGAUGCUGAUAUAAAACUUACAAAUCCAAAACAAACCUGUCUGUGCUCCUCAGUGAGCACAAGAACAUUACAAAAUCAACAAAUAUUUUAGUAAGAACAAAUGACAUCUAAAUCUCUCCCACAACAACCAAAUUUUCAAAGCAAUCAAUGUACAGUCAGAUUAAAACUAAAUUCUUCACCAGGCAACGUCUGCGCCCAUCUGACCACUUCUACGUAUCGCAGGCCUCUGAUGCUGCCCGGGAAAUCCCAAACAACACAGAAGACCCGCGACCACCCGCAGCAACCAAAAUAGUACACCCGUUGACGAUCUCCAUCAACUUGCAGUGACGAUAAAUUGAAAUGUCCUAAAUUGGUAUAAGUUCCUUACUGCACAUUUAAACAUUCUUUUAUAAUCAGGUGGACUUCGAAAAUGUGAAAUAAGAAGGCAAAUUAGAUUAGAUUCCAAAUCGAUAACGAAUGAAAAAAUCCACUUAUCUUUCGUCUUGUUGAUAGUUUCGGACAUCAGCUGCAAUCGAUUUUCAUCUUAGCUCUUGAUGACAAAAGUUUAAAUCCUUGGACAUUUUCUACUUGUUAGAAACUCCACCGGAAGGAAGUAAGGUGAUCUUUUGUUUGGCUUCUUCCAGAGAUUUCCACAGAUCCGAAUUGUUGUCCAAAUGGUCAAAACUGACCAGUAACAGAUUCCUAACGAUGCUCACUAAACUUUACACGAUCUAUCCAAGGAUCAUUAAUCAUCAAACCCGUUUGUAAAAAAAACUAAUUUUGAGGUGCUUUAUAGUUACAUAACUUUGAAAAUCAUUCCAGAGCAUCGGGAGAACACACUAACAUUGACCGACGUGUGUCAGAAGUGUGAAUUUUCAUGUUUCAAAUAAUGUCAUAAUGCAUGCAUGCAAAUAAACAAACAAACAUACAUAGUAAUUUUACUAUUUAAAUCAAGCUCCUCGCUCCUCCUAAUCUUUAUCAUAACACAUACUAGUUUCAUCAUGAAACAUAUUAAUUUUACUAGGGACGAAGUAAAAUAAUGCAUCAUUUCAUUGACAAUUUUACUAAAACGCAGUCGAAUUUACUAUGCGCAGCCAAAUUUAGCACAUGGUAAAAUAGCUAUGCGUAAGGUAUUAUAAACAACAAAACAUAUUUGACUCAAAAAUAUGGUCGCCUGUUGUUCGUUUAAACCACGGAUUUAGUAAUUUUACUAUGCUUUUUUUUGUGUGUAGCGAGAUAUUGCAUGACCACUUUUCAUGCAAUACUUCGUGGGGUACAAUCAGUGGUGUCAAUCGAAUUUAUUGUUUAUCAAUGCAAAAAAACAUACACCUGUUUAACAGCUAAUAACUUUUUUGUCUAAAAAGAUACGAAGUUAUAAUAUUCAACAAAGAUGUUCAGCGGAGAAUUUUCUUUAGAGAAUUUAUAAAUUGGCACAAAAACCAUAAGCAGGCUCGGUUCCACGGAAGAAACAAAAAUGAUGUUGAUUUUUCAGUACAAAAUAUUCAAUUUUCCCAUACAAACCUAAAAGUUCAAAUUUACUCAUGUAAACGUUACUUAAAAAUUCUGCAAAAAAUCAUAGGUUUUGAACCAAAACGAAGCUUUUAAGACCCCAGGGUUUGAGAAAUUCAAAAAUCACCCCAAAUCGACUUAGUCUAAUAGACAUUUAAUGCCAAUUACGAUAUCAAAAAAAUUCAACACAAAAUAUUGUCAAAUUUAUAUAAUAAAAUUGUACCUUAUGGGUCAAAAAAUCACAAUGUAUAACUAUAAUGGCAAAAAAAUCUUUUAAAAUCCAGUGUACUCAAAACAUGAAAAAAAAAAUAAAAUAAAAAUAGUUAAUAUUACGUACCCCGCUUUGAAUCAGGUGCUGAAAAAAAAACCAAAAGAAAAAAUAAGAAAAAUGAAAAAAAUCGGAAGAAGGAAAAAACAGAGAAAACUAAAAGCAGGAAACAGACCAGAAAAGGACAACAUAAAAACUACAAAAUCUAUUCAAAUAACAAUUUGAAAAAUUGUGAUAACAUAAUGGUAGAAUAGUAAGAAUGAAAAAAAAGAAGAUGGAAACAGAGAAAACAACAGAAAAAUCUAACGGAACAAAAAAAAUAAAAAACAAACCGGUAAAAAUAACAAUUGAAGCUCUCAGAGCCGAAGGCGUAUAAGUGACAAAAUGGUCGAUUUCGAGUUAAUAAUGCCAAAGAAUUCUUCACAUUUCAAAUUUUUAGAAUCUUGUUUAGAUACUUUUACAUUCGAUAGAAAAAUAAAAAUUCUUCAAGAAUAUAUGGAAAACGGCCAAACAUAUCAAUUAAAAAGCGUGUUUUCUCGAAAUAAGCUUUUAUGCACUUAACCCUUUGGCUCCAAGGUCCGCAUAAUAUAAAAAAUAAAAAAUUGAAAAACAAUAAAAUUAGUAAAAAAACAAAAAAUAUAAAAAAAAUCAAGAAAAAAACAACUUA